CCUACGGGAGGCAGCAGUGAGGAAUAUUGGUCAAUGGCCGGGAGGCUGAACCAGCCAAGUCGCGUGAGGGAAGACGGCCCUACGGGUUGUAAACCUCUUUUGUCAGGGAGCAAGGUGCAGGUCGGGACCUGCUGUGAGAGUACCUGAAGAAAAAGCAUCGGCUAACUCCGUGCCAGCAGCCGCGGUAAUACGGAGGAUGCGAGCGUUAUCCGGUUUUAUUGGGUUUAAGGGGUGCGCAGGCGGAGGCACAAGUCAGCGGUAAAAGCGCGGGGCUCAACCCCGCUCCGCCGUUGAAACUGUGUCCCUUGAGUGCGCGAAGGGUAGGCGGAAUGCGUGGUGUAGCGGUGAAAUGCAUAGAUAUCACGCAGAACUCCGAUGGCGAAGGCAGCCUACCGGCGCGCAACUGACGCUCAUGCACGAAAGCGUGGGGAGCGAACAGGAUUAGAUACCCCUGUAGUC
rnacentral:rRNA from 1 species